GGCUUGAAUCCCGCUGCUAUUUCUAGAGAUAGAAAGUUUCUUCGGAACAUCGGUGACAGGUGGUGCAUGGUUGUCGUCAGCUCGUGUCGUGAGAUGUUGGGUUAAGUCCCGCAACGAGCGCAACCCCUAUUGUUAGUUGCCAUCAUUUAGUUGGGCACUCUAGCGAGACUGCCGGUAAUAAACCGGAGGAAGGUGGGGAUGACGUCAAAUCAUCAUGCCCCUUAUGACCUGGGCUACACACGUGCUACAAUGGUUGGUACAACGAGUUGCGAGUCGGUGACGGCAAGCUAAUCUCUUAAAGCCAAUCUCAGUUCGGAUUGUAGGCUGCAACUCGCCUACAUGAAGUCGGAAUCGCUAGUAAUCGCGGAUCACCACGCCGCGGUGAAUACGUUCCCGGGUCUUGUACACACCG
rnacentral:rRNA from 1 species